ensembl:lncRNA
CAUGGAUUGCCUGCCCCUUACCAAAAUAGGGUUUUGGAUAUACUUUACAUGAGCAUCUACCACUCUAAAUGUGUAUUUUUACUGAAAAUAUUAGAUAAUGGUACAACAAACCAGGUAUCUGGGUAUAUUUUACUCAUCUACAGUCAAAAUAUCUACAAAAAAUGUCAGUAAAUUUAAAAUUUUCCUGAAUUCUAACUCCAGCUAACAUCAAAGUCCGUAAACAAACUCCCCAUUGUGUUUUCAAGUGGCAGAAACAUGAAAUAAAGACAGAAACUGACCUUUUUUUAAUGAACCCUGAUUAUUAUUUAAUUACAAAUGAAGAUGAACAGAUAGCAGUGAAACAGAAGUACAUGUGGAUCCUCCAUGACAUAAAAAAAAAAAAAACAAGUCUCCGUCUGUCCUCUGGAGUGAGCGCUCACCGCUGAGGUGGACAUGAGAGGAGAGACAGAGACCCGAGUGAAAACACAGGGGGAAACGUUGCAAAUAAUAAAAUGGUUAAACAGUACAAUGCUCUUUUUCUUACAGAGUCCUCCAAAAAAAAAAAAAGGGAAAAUAUAUAUACAUAUCAUCAUAAAAUGAAAAUGACUGUGUCUGACCCCCUCGCUGUAGAGCACGUGGGGGGUUAAUGUGACCCCGCUCCUGUCCACGGUAACACGGUUAUAAAAUCAGCGUAAUUAAAAGAAAAAUAAUAAAAAAUAAAGACUGCACUGAAGCCGACUAGUUACGGAAAGAGCGCAAACUCACAGAAAACCAGGAAUUAAUGGAGAAGAGGCUGGGUCGUGGCGAGAGGAUACAAUGCAAUUUAAAAAAAAUUAUUAAUGUUAAUAAGAUAAUAAUUACAAGAGUAACAGUAAUACGUCUGAAAUAAUACAGAAGAAAAAUGGUAAGAACAGCACUGAUGAGGCUGAGGAGUGAAAAUGUGAAGCUGGUGGGAAACUGUUAUUCUGUUGUCAGGUAAGGCAGCACAGGUGUAACAGUUCGGGUGUUUUUAUUUUCCUCUACCAGACUCGUGUUAACUGCUACAUCUGUCCUUGAAGUUCCCUCAGAGUUUACGGUGUAGGUUUUUCCCCAUCACUGUGACCUCUCUCUCUGACCAAUCAAAUUUAAGGAGGAGUGGGAUUUAAGAGAGCAACACUGCUCGAGAGAAGAGCCCUGAAAAUGAGGCCACAGGUGUUUCUGGUGCCAAAGGUGGUGCUGCUUUAAACAAAUCAGGGGUGUCCUGGUGCACUGUGACACCUGUGAGAGCAAAUCAAGCUCCAGGCAAUCCCGCUAGGCUGUACGCAAUGAAUGGAGAAAGCCGGAGGUGCUCUGUCUUUAGGUAAAUGUAUGCAUGUGAGCAGAUAUGCAGACUCUACACUGUCAGGGUCCUUCAUCAGAGCUGGUGGGAUUUUUGCUCAUCAACUUCAAAAGUGUGUCCAAAACACCCCUGUGGACACGUACCACGUGCCUGAUGGAGACAGCUGAUGAUUGGUUUAGGACAUGGAUUUGAGACUGGAGCUGGUUGGACAAACAGGACUAAAACCUGCACCAAGACUCUCUGCAGACUGGGCUAAAAAGCUGUGUGUGUGUGUGUGUGUGUGUGUGUGUGUGUGUGUGUGUAAACGGCUUAACCAUAGAAACCACACACACACAGACAAGAAUGAGCGAGUCAGAUUAUGGGAAGUCCCUCUCUCUCUCUCCACUCUGCCCUGAGGUUUACUGAUGCAGUUUCCUCGCUGCGUGUGAUUGGCUGCAGUUUCUAUGGCAGUGCCAAAAGACUGCGGAGGCGUCUGAUGUCAGGUGUGAUGUCAUGUUUCCCUUUAUUGUAGCCACAGUAAAGCCUCGCUAACCAUCGUACUGUGUGUGUGUGUAGGCUUCAGAUCAGCACAGACACACAAAGCUUCGAAUCCUCAGUCAAAGUCCAGUCCUAUCACAGCUGUGGCCCUGCUGACCUCAUGUGGCGACAUGAAGCUGAAUACCUGUGCCGUCCAAUCAGAAAGCGCCCUGAACACACGAGUCCAUUCCCCGCUCCCUGUUUUGCGACCUUCACCUCUUUUAAGCUGAUUUUUAAGUUUGAGGCGGGUGGAGAGCGAGCAAACGGGAGGACAACCCCUCCUAAAUUUGCCUUUCUUGCGACAGACUCCGUGUUGUGGUGGUUAAACUCCACCCAGCUGCCACUCCACGGGCAUUAAAACAAACACACCAGAUAACAGAGUCAUAAUGAGUUAACCCGGGUCAGGUUAAAUCAGCAGGUCUCAAACUGUGGAACAUGAAGUGGAACUAAAACGAACAAAUUUGAUGCCUGAAAGUUUGAUAAGGGAAAAAACAACAACAAAAAAACGUGUGAGGUGUGAACUUUUAAGUUCGAGAACCACCGGGUUAAAAGUUCACUCCUUUCUCCAAGUCACACCCUCCGUCCCCUGAAUACACAAUAACUGCUUCCCCCCCGUUUUUUUGAACAAUAUAAAUAUAAAACUCUGAUACCAGUGGCCUUUUGUCGCUGCAGCUCAACGGUCAAAGAGAAGGCAAGGGUGAGAAGGCAAAGGCUGAAUUAUACUGGUAAUAAUAUGCCCAUUAGAGUAUAUACACACACAUCUUUACCAUUAAAAAUAGUAGGAUUCUCCUGAUUUGUAUCAAAUGACCAUAUUGAAAUAUAAUAUUUGAAUUCAAUAUAUAUUUGAAUAAAAUAUAUAUGUGUAGAUUUACUUAUUCUGUAUCUUUUACAAAAGCAGAAGGCAUGGUGGUACUCUGUGUGUGAGAUAAAACAUUAAGCCGGGGGUAGGUCAAUAAAACUCGAGAAAAAAAAAAAAAGGCACAAUCUACCUGUUGUUCUUUAAAACGGGCACAUUUCUGUUUAAAACUCUGAAUAAAACGACAUAAAAAUGAGCUGUUAUAGCAACAUCUCAGUGAAGGUUUGCCUGAGUUAACCUUGAUGCUCGACAUUCAUUUCAUGGUUCCCGUUCUUGUUCGCCCACCCACCCCGCCGUUAGACGAAUCGCUGCUUCUCAAAUACAAAAACAAAACAUCACGUGAACAGAUUAUAUCCAAAACACAGAAAGCCCUCAGAUCACUGCAAAAAUGCCCUAAAAUACUGUCCACGUCCUCAAGAGGCACAAACGUCCUUUGACAGAAGUCCUAAAAACAAAUCAGGGGAAUGCAGACGAGAGUUUUUAAAUCAGACGCCAUCAAACCUCCAAAAACCCCUCGGUGAUUGUGCGAAGUCACGCAGGGACAUAAAAAGCAGAGAAACCCUCUGUAUCCUCGAGGUUAGUGCACCAGCUUUGGGUCCACAAACACACACAC